rnacentral:lncRNA from 1 species
AUUAUGUUUAAGUUGUAUGACAACUAAAACAAAUAUGGGUAUUUAGCCCAAUAACAAAAGGAGGCCGGCCAUAGCAAGGGUAGUGGGAAUUUUUGCUUAAUUGCAAGUUUGCCACUAACCUAAGAGGUGAAGUAUAAAGUCAUCUUUAUAGCUUUGUUUCUUAAUAGGGGUUUUCUAAUAGAAAUUGGGUGAAACAUGUUCUCUCAUUUUCUACAUAGAGGCCGGCCACUUAGAGGAUUUUUACUAGCAUCUAAAAUCUCUCUAAGUCAUCCAUAUCAUCUUCACAAUAUACAUCUUUGGUGAGAGACUUAGAGACAUCAAGCUUUUGAUGUUUUUGGAGAACAAAUCCUUUUUCCUCAAAUCAUCAAAGGAGCACUAAAGGGAGGAAAACACAAGAAGGAUUCAAAGAGCUUGGAGGUGACUUGAAGGCCCUCCACUUGGGUGAAUCCCUUGUGUAAACAUGGAUGAGCUUCAAGGGUAAAGAAUCACUUAAUCUUUACUUCUCUUUAAUGUUGUUAAAGAGUUUAUUUUGGUUCACAAUAUACUAGGCUUUGAAAGUCAUGGGUUUUAUGAAUUGUUUUUGAAUGCAUACCUACUUUAAAGUGUUAAUAGCUUGCAUGAGUAUUCAAAUGUUCAUACUUGUUCUUAGCUAGGACAAAAUUUUUCCUUCAAGUGGUAUCAGAGCCUAGGCCUAGUGUAUGGUGAAUCCUUUUGGGUUUUGUGAUGUUCAUAUUUUGUGAUUUAAAUGUUGUAAAUGUUACAAGCUUUGUUCUUGCUUUUGAAUAUAUAAAUUUUGCUAGAAAAUUUAGCAUCUCAAAUGUUGUAGAUGUAUUUCAUUUAAGCAUGAAUAUUGGAACUAAAAUUUGGUGACAUGUGUUUUGGGAAAUUCGGCCAAAUCCUUAGGGUGACUUUUUGGGUUCAUGUUUGUCUUGUUAAAAUGGUUUUAAGGUGACUUUUGGAACCCCUAAGUACCCUAGGAUAUUAGCCCUCUUUUGAGAGGUGAAAAUUGAGUUUUGGUGAAUGAAAACAUCCAUGGGGCUAUUAUGAGUUUUCAUGGUGUUCUUCAAAUGUUCUUGAAGUUCUUGCCAAGAACAAAAAGGGUUUGAAGUUUUGAUUCAAAAGUUUUAUGUUUUUCAUAAAGUUUUGGUUUAAUUUUGAUGGGUGAUGGAUAUUGGUGAGAAGUGAUUAAAAGGAUUUAAUGUUUGUCAAAACUCAUAAAUGUUUUACAAAACAUUUUCUUACAAACCAUCAAUUUCACCUCACCCACCAAAAUCAACUUGCAUAUUGCACAUGCAUGCACUAAAACCCUUUCACACUUGUUCACACACCUCCUAGGCCGGCCACCCCAACAAGUGGGGUACUUUUGGGGCCUUUUGUGCAAUUACAUAAAGUUGUGAAAAUUUUGUGUUUUUGCAUUUUGGCCCAAAAGUUUACGUUUUUACGUUAAGGCCCUAAAACGCUAAAGGACAAAUUGUUUUGAUCCUUUAAUGAUGUUUUUACAUUAAUGAAAUUUUGGGUUCUAGUUGAAAUUACAUGAAGUUGUGGACUUUCGUGUUUUUUCCAAAGUGACCCCAAAAGUUUUUUGUAUUUGCAUUAUGGCCCAAAUGUUGUGGUCAUAGUUUCCUUUUGGCCCAAAUAAAAUGAGAACAAAAAUUGUUUUGUCUCUUUAAUGAGAAUUGGAUUUUCAUUCUAUUUAGUUCCAUUUAAAUCAAUUCUAUGGAUCCAAAAACCAAUUGUUUAAAGUUGUUUUCUUAGUUAAUAUGAUUGAUUAAGAAAAGGGUGAUUAUGAACCAAAGGCCACGAUAAUUGAGCUAUGUGAUUGGCCGAUAUACAUUAUGAAUGUUUGGGUUUUAGUAGUGUAGAUUUGAAUGUAAUU